rnacentral:rRNA from 2 species
GUCGAGCGGAUUGAUGGGAGCUUGCUCCCUGAUAUCAGCGGCGGACGGGUGAGUAACACGUGGGUAACCUGCCUGUAAGACUGGGAUAACUCCGGGAAACCGGGGCUAAUACCGGAUAACUCAUUUCCUCGCAUGAGGAAAUGUUGAAAGGUGGCUUCUGGCUACCCCUUACAAAGGGACCCGGGGCCCAUUACUUAUUGGGGGAGGAAACGGUUCACCAAGGCAACAAUGCUUACCCAACCUGAAAGGGGGAUCGGCCCCCCUGGAACGGAAACCCGGCCCAAACUCCUACGGAAGGCACCAUAAGGGAAUCUUCCGCAUGGGACAAAAGUCUGACGAAGCACCGCCCCUGGAGGGAUGAAGGUUUUCGAAUCGUAAAGUUCUGUUGUUAGGAAAAACCAAUUGCCGUUCAAUUAGGGCGGCACCUUGACGGUACCUAACCAAAAAGCCACGGUUACCUCGUUGCCACCACCCGCGGAAUUACGUAGGUGGCAACCGUGUUCCGAAAUUAUUGGGCGUAAAGCGCGCGCAGGUGGUUCCUUAAUCCUAAUGUGAAAGCCCACGCUUCACCCUGGAAGGGUCAUGGAAACCUGGGGAACUUGAUGGCGAAGAGGAAAGUGAAAUUUCCAGUUGUAGCGGUGAAAUGCGUAGAUAUUGGGAGGAACCACCAGUUGCCGAAGGCGACUUUCUGGUCUGUAACUGACACUGGAAGCCGCGAAAGGCGUGGGGAGCAAACAGGAUAAGAUACCCUGGUUAGUCACCGCCGUAAACGAUGAUGCCUAGUUGUUAGGAGGUUUCCGCCCCUUAAUUGCGCAGCUAACGCAUUAAGCACCUCCGCUUGGGGAGUACGGUCCGCAAGACUGAACUUCAAAGGAAUUGACCGGGGCCCGCACAAGCCGUUGGAAGCAUGUUGGUUUAUUCCUAAGCAACGCCGGAGAACCUUACAAGGCCUGGACAUUCCUCUGGACAACCCUAAAAAUAGGGCUUUCCCCCUUCCGGGGACAAAGAGGACACAGGGGUGUGGAUGGGUUGUUCCUCCGCUUCGGUCCCUGAGAAUGUUGGGGUAUAAAUCCCCCCCAACAAACCCCAACCCCCUGUGACUCUAAAUUUGCCACCAUUUCAUGUGUGGGACCCUCUAUAAAAUAGACAUGCCCCCCUGU